AGUCCCAAUUUUUUUUAUUUUUUUUAAAUAAACUAAGUCCAAAACAAAUUAUUUAAAAAAUUAGAAAAAAAAUCUCUUUAUUUGUUCUCCUUCUUCCAUCGUCAACCACCACCGCUAUCAACUAUUUUCCCCGUCUAAUCAACGCCUUACCAUUGAACCCUCAUCUUUCCUAGCCAACACCUGCAUCGCAUCCGAUCUCUAAUCCAAUGGCCUCUAGCUCAACUCUUUGCCCCCUUCAACAUAAUCGACAGCAACACCAUCUUCUACUUCAAUUGCUUUGUCGACGUAGUGAACUCCCCUUUAAACUAUACCUCCAACAACCUCUGCCAUGUGUACAUCAACGGCAUAGUCGGGAAUGGUUGAGUAGAUGUGCCUUUAAGUUGUACAUUCAGGGUAGAAGGAUUGAUAAUGACUUACAAGAUACGAGUAAAGCAUUUGGGUUGCAAGGUGUACAUGAGCUUCGUGAAUUUGGAUUACGGUUUACCAAUAAGCACGUGGCUAAUACCUGGAGUGGAAUUGCAAUGGGUUUUGCUAAUAGAACCCACCUGUAGGAGGAUGAGAAGGAAGGAGAAGGGGAAAAAUGUUGGUAGUGAU
rnacentral:lncRNA from 1 species